rnacentral:rRNA from 1 species
CCUGACCCCCAUAGGAGGUCCAGCCUGCCCAGUGACAAAGUUAAACGGCCGCGGUACCCUAACCGUGCGAAGGUAGCGCAAUCACUUGUUCUUUAAAUGAGGACUAGUAUGAAUGGCAUCACGAGGGUUUCACUGUCUCCCCCUUUUAAUCAAUGAAACUGAUCUUCCCGUGAAGAAGCGGGAAUAAACAUAUAAGACGAGAAGACCCCAUGGAGCUUUAAACCCAGUAUCAACUACACUCACUAUACCACACAAGAUUAGUAGACAUGACACCUGGUUUUCGGUUGGGGUGACCACGGAGCAAAACAAAACCUCCAUGAUGAAAGGAAUCUAUUCCUAAUCUAAGAGCCACAGCUCAAAGAAUCAACAAACUGACAUUAAUUGACCCAAAUUAUUUUGAUCAACGAAC